UUGUGGACAUCAUCGAGUCGGUGGCCCGAUCCACGCUUGUAACGAAUAAAUUAAAAAUAGGGCAAAACUAGAUUAGGUCAUAAAUUUUCUUCCCCUUCGAAAAGAAAACCACACUCCAAAAUUACACAUCUUCAUCUUCAAAAUUAGGGUUUCCUAAAGGAUCUACCAGAGUGUAGUUGAUAGAUAUACGAUAUGGAAGAAUCGAAACAUAAAUCUAGCAAGAAGGAUGAUUAUGCUAAGAAAGAUGAAGAGGUGAAACAUAAAGAGAGGCAUAGGGAUCGAGAGAAGGAACGUAAUGGCGGCGGUGAUAGGCGUAGAGAGAGGGAAAGGGAGAGGGAAAGGAGUGUUGAUGAGAAGAAACAUAAAGAGAGGCACAGAGAUAAGGAGAAGGAGAAGGAGAAGGAAAGGGAGAGGAAAGAGAGGGAGAGAGAGAAGGAGAGGGAACGGGAACGGGAACGGGCUAAAGAGAAAGAGAAUCGAGAACGAGAGAGGGCGAAAGAGAGGGAAAGGGAGAAGGAGAGGGAGAGGGAAAGAGAGAAGGAAAGAGAGAGGAGGGAGAGAAAGGAGAGGGAAGAUAGGGAUAGGGAAAAGAUGAGGGAAAAACGGAGAGAAGCGGAGAGGGAUCAUGGUGGAAUUGAUGAUGUGAAAGAACGAGAUAGGAAGAGGCGAAGGAGAGACGAUGAUUACAGGGAGGACAGGGAAAGAGAACGUGAAAAGGAACAUAAUGCUAAGGUUUCUAGUAGACGGAGGGAAGAUAGUGUAGAUAAAAAGGUCGAUGAAAAUUUAUCGGAUAAGAAAGAGGCGAGGACACGUGAAGAGGCCAUGGAGGAAGAACAAAGGAAAUUGGAUGAUGAGAUGGAGAAGAGGAGGAGGAGGGUGCAAGAAUGGCAGGAAAAGCGACGAAAGAAAGAGGAAACUGAAGGUGAACAGGCUGGGGUGACGGGGGAAACUGCAGGUAAGACAUGGACUCUAGACGGGGAAUCUGAUGAUGAAGAAGCUGGACCGGUUGAGAAUGAUGAAGGGGAGAUGGAUGUGGAUGAAAAGGUGAAUGGUGCCACUGAAAAUGGAGAUGGUGUUGUUAAAGGAUUAGAUAAUGGUGUUACUGUGGCUGCUGCACCGAUUGGUGGCAAUACUGCCGAGGAUGAAAUUGAUCCUUUGGAUGCAUAUAUGAACUCCAUGGUGAUACCAGAAGUUAACAAAUUGAGCACUGCUGAGAUUUCUGGUAUGGAACAAACGAGCUCAGAUUCAAAGAGAAAUGAAAAGAUUCAGAACAAUGGGAAGCAGCUGAAAAAGAGUACAAUGGGCAGGAUCAUUCCUGGUGAAGAUUCUGACUCGGAAUUUCCUGCUAUGGAUGAUGAAGAUCCUCUAGAAGAUGAAGACGAUGAUGACUUCAUGAAAAGAGUGAAGAAGACAAAGGUUGAGAAGUUAUCGCUUGUUGAUCACUCAAAGAUCAAUUACCUUGAAUUCAGAAAGAAUUUUUAUAUUGAAGUGAAGGAGAUACAGCAAAUGACUUCAGAAGAGGUUGCUGCUUAUAGAAAAGAAUUGGAGCUAAAGAUACACGGAAAAGAUGUACCCAAGCCGAUUAAGACGUGGCACCAGACUGGAUUGACAACUAGAAUUUUAGACACAAUCAAAAAGCUGAAAUAUGAUAAGCCAAUGCCUAUUCAAGCUCAAGCACUGCCUGUUAUAAUGAGUGGCCGAGACUGUAUAGGUGUCGCAAAAACAGGUUCUGGUAAAACCUUAGCUUUUGUUUUACCAAUGUUACGACAUAUAAUGGAUCAGCCGGAACUUGAGGCUGGAGAUGGACCCAUUGGACUUAUAAUGGCACCCACAAGAGAGCUUGUACAGCAGAUUCACAGUGAUAUAAGAAAGUUUACUAAGGUAUUGGGUCUCCAUUGUGUGCCUGUGUAUGGAGGUUCAGGUGUUGCCCAACAAAUUAGUGAUCUUAAAAGAGGGGCCGAGAUUGUUGUUUGCACCCCAGGUAGGAUGAUUGACAUUCUUUGUACUAGUGCUGGGAAAAUCACGAAUCUUAGACGAGUCUCAUAUUUGGUAAUGGAUGAGGCUGAUCGUAUGUUUGACAUGGGUUUUGAGCCACAAAUCACCAGAAUUGUCCAAAACACCCAACCCAAACGUCAGACUGUGUUAUUUUCCGCUACUUUCCCUCGACAGGUGGAAGUAUUGGCCCGAAAGGUAGUUAUAAACAGACCUGUGGAGAUACAGGUUGGGGGGAGAAGUGUUGUGAAUAAAGACAUAACUCAGCUAGUGGAGGUGAGGCCAGAAAAUGAGAGGUUCUUUAGGUUGUUAGAGCUACUUGGAGAAUGGUGUGAGAAAGGUAAGACUUUAAUAUUCGUCCAAUCCCAGGAAAAAUGUGAUUCUUUAUUCAGGGAUCUGCUCAAACAUGGAUAUCCCUGCUUGUCGCUACACGGGGCUAAAGAUCAGACUGAUCGAGAAUCUACCAUUUCUGAUUUUAAGAGUAAUGUAUGCAAUUUACUGAUUGCAACCAGUAUUGCUGCUAGGGGUUUGGAUGUUAAGGAGCUUGAGCUAGUGAUUAAUUAUGACGUUCCAAAUCAUUACGAAGAUUAUGUUCAUCGGGUUGGCCGUACUGGUAGAGCUGGGAGGAAAGGUUGUGCUGUCACAUUUUUAUCCACUGAUGACGAAAGAUAUGCACCAGAUCUUGUAAAAGCUUUGGAACUAUCUAAUCAAGUUGUUCCCGAUGACCUGAAAGCUCUUGCUGAUGCGUUUAUGGCGAAGGUAAAUCAGGGACUUGUGCAAGCUCACGGGACUGGUUAUGGUGGAAGUGGUUUUAAGUUUAACGAGGAGGAGGAUGAAGUAAGGAAGGCAGCAAAGAAAGCACAGGCUAGAGAAUAUGGAUUUGAAGAAGAUAAAUCUGAUUCAGACGAUGACGAUGAUGGGGUGCGAAAGGCAGGAGGUGAUAUUUCUCAGCAAGCUGUCCUUGCCCAAGCUGCUGCUCUUGCUGCAGCCAGUCAACAGCCUUCUACUAGUGCAGGGCCUGCAACCCUGACCGGUGUUCCUGUGGUAGCUGGCAAUGAUGGGGCUGCUAGGGCUGCAGCAUUGGCUGCUGCCAUGAACUUGCAGCACAAUUUGGCAAGGAUUCAGGCCGAUUCUUUGCCUGAGCAUUAUGAAGCAGAGUUGGAGAUUAAUGAUUUUCCUCAAAAUGCUAGGUGGAAGGUAACACAUAAAGAAACUUUGGGUCCAAUUUCAGAAUGGACUGGGGCCGCCAUCACCACUAGGGGCCAAUAUGUUCAACCUGGUAGGAUCCCAGCUCCAGGGGAAAGAAAACUCUACUUGUUUAUUGAGGGAGGUACUGAACAAUCUGUGAAGAGGGCCAAAACAGAAUUGAAGCGUGUUUUGGAAGACAUCACAGCACAAGCAUUGUCUCUUCCAAGUUCUCAACCGGGGCGUUAUUCUUUGUUUGAGAAAUAGGCUCGAGUGUUGCUGGUCUAUGUUUGCUCAGUCACGCAUAAGCUUUGGCUUGAAGGAGGAUCCAGCUUGCACAUGUGUUGAGCAAAAUAUAUACAAUUUCUUUUAGUGGCUACCAGGAGGUGGCGGUCACUCGAGUUUCUCUUAUAGUCGUCCUUUCCCCCCUUUAAGAACAUGUUGGUCGGGGAACAGACCUAUGUUGCUUCUUUGACAGUGUUCUGAAGUAAUGAUCUAUUGCUUCAUGUACCACAAUGACCUUUCAUGUCUGGCCUUUUUUACUUACAUGGGGUUAUAGAGUAGAAUAGUUGCUCAGUGGAGUUAGGAUUUACUAAAAGCUUACUUUUUUGAAGUGCCUUGAACACCUUGAUUGCCUCACGUUUGAAUUAUUGACUACAUUUUUUCUUGUCAUAUCUCAGAUGGCCUUGUGUUGUAAUAUUCUUUUGUGGAAUACAUACAUUUAUGGAAGAAAAAAGAACACAAUAAUGUCCACUUACCCUUGUUAUGAUUUCUUGCUUUUUUCUCUAGAAGAAUUCCGUUGUCUAAACCUUGCAGAGUUUUUUAGGUCAUGUGACUUGAGGUCUCUUAUCUGAGUGCUUCGCCUCUAAUACCAUUGUUCUUUUUUAUUAUUAAUUUUUUUUUUCCAAUUACCUUCUGGUGUCCUAGUCAUACCAUUUUUACAUUUAUAUUGUCAUUAUUCAGUAGGUUACGAAUCUAGGAGGGUUAACUGGAUUUGGUGACCUGCUUUAGGACUAUAUGUGCAAAUGUUUAUAAGAUUUGGAUAGGAGUAGCAAUCAUCUUUGGGACUAGAGAGAGUGUUCUGGUUGAAAGGUUUUAAAUUACUGCUGUUAACAAUGAAGCUCGUUGCCUAUAUUUAAGAACUGCGAAUUAUUGGGAGUGCAGUUGAAAGUGAUGAGAGUCCUGUUGCUCGUGGAAGAUUGUUAUUCAACAGCUCCCUUUGAUUUGCUCUUGUAUGAUUAUUUAUAGUCGCAUUUAUUUUUCAAGAAUCCAACUAAUGGAACUUUGUAAGAUUGAUGGCUAUUGUCACAACUUAUUUUAUAAAAGGAAAUCUUUGUAAA